GACAGAGGGUGCAAACGUUGUUCGGAAUUACUGGGCGUAAAGGGCGCGUAGGCGGCCUUCUAAGUCAGACGUGAAAUCCCCCGGCUUAACCUGGGAACUGCGUCUGAUACUGGGAGGCUAGAGUAUGGGAGAGGGAUGUAGAAUUCCAGGUGUAGCGGUGAAAUGCGUAGAUAUCUGGAGGAAUACCGGUGGCGAAGGCGGCAUCCUGGACCAUUACUGGCGCUGAGGCGCGAAAGCUAGGGGAGCAAACGGG
rnacentral:rRNA from 1 species